UUCAUCUGUAAAUCCAAAAUCAAUCUUGUGAAAAGCUUAUAAGGGAAAGUUAUAUAUGUACUUGUUUCAACAUAUAGCUAGGGAGACAGAGAAAGCACAUGUAAACUAUGUUCUACAGACCGAGGAGUUCUCAAAAUAUAUCCAUACCAACUAGUUACCACUAUGGUCUGCUAGGCCCAUUUGUGGGACAGGUGACAUUCAGAAAGCUUAAGGAGACACUGUCAUUCACACAUGCAGAUUCUGUAGGUUCUAGUAAGUAUUAAACAAUCUGGGUCACACACUUCACAGAUCUCAAGUUUCAUACUAUGUUUCUAGUUUUCCUAGGGACCUACAGAUGGUCACAUAAAGGAUGUCUGCUUUUUUGUAAAACUGCUAACAAAUACAGUAGCCUUUAUGAUGUUGUGUUCCUUAUAAAAGACAUAUGCUAUAAAUUUGUCUCAGUGCUGUGACAGAAAGUUUGUAUCACUUUUUGGA